rnacentral:rRNA from 1 species
GAUGAACGCUGGCGGCGUGCCUAACACAUGCAAGUCGAACGAGAUCUUCGGGUCUAGUGGCGCACGGGUGCGUAACGCGUGGGAAUCUGCCCUUUGGUUCGGAAUAACAGUUGGAAACGACUGCUAAUACCGGAUGAUGACGAAAGUCCAAAGAUUUAUCGCCAGAGGAUGAGCCCGCGUAGGAUUAGCUAGUUGGUGUGGUAAAGGCGCGCCAAGGCGACGAUCCUUAGCUGGUCUGAGAGGAUGAUCAGCCACACUGGGACUGAGACACGGCCCAGACUCCUACGGGAGGCAGCAGUGGGGAAUAUUGGACAAUGGGCGAAAGCCUGAUCCAGCAAUGCCGCGUGAGUGAUGAAGGCCUUAGGGUUGUAAAGCUCUUUUACCCGGGAUGAUAAUGACAGUACCGGGAGAAUAAGCUCCGGCUAACUCCGUGCCAGCCGCCGCCGUAA